rnacentral:rRNA from 1 species
CAGGCCUAACACAUGCAAGUCGAGCGGACUUAUCCUUCGGGAUAGGUUAGCGGCGGACGGGUGAGUAACACGUAGGCAACCUGCCUGUAAGAUCGGGAUAACUACCGGAAACGGUAGCUAAGACCGGAUAGCUGGUUUCUCCGCAUGGGGGAAUCAUGAAACACGGGGCAACCUGUGGCUUACGGAUGGGCCUGCGGCGCAUUAGCUAGUUGGUGGGGUAACGGCCCACCAAGGCGACGAUGCGUAGCCGACCUGAGAGGGUGAUCGGCCACACUGGGACUGAGACACGGCCCAGACUCCUACGGGAGGCAGCAGUAGGGAAUCUUCCGCAAUGGGCGCAAGCCUGACGGAGCAACGCCGCGUGAGUGAUGAAGGUUUUCGGAUCGUAAAGCUCUGUUGCCAAGGAAGAACGCCUCGGAGAGUAACUGCUCUGAGGGUGACGGUACUUGAGAAGAAAGCCCCGGCUAACUACGUGCCAGCAGCCGCGGUAAUACGUAGGGGGCAAGCGUUGUCCGGAAUUAUUGGGCGUAAAGCGCGCGCAGGCGGUCUUUUAAGUUUGGUGUUUAAGCCCGGGGCUCAACCCCGGUUCGCACUGAAAGCUGGGAGACUUGAGUGCAGGAGAGGAAAGCGGAAUUCCACGUGUAGCGGUGAAAUGCGUAGAGAUGUGGAGGAACACCAGUGGCGAAGGCGGCUUUCUGGACUGUAACUGACGCUGAGGCGCGAAAGCGUGGGGAGCAAACAGGAUUAGAU